UUAUAAUUUUAACACCAUAAUUUUUAAGUGUGGUUUGAUCAUUAUACUCAAAUUUUAGACCAAAAAAUUUUUCCCUCCAUAUUUUUAUAUUCCCCCAACAUAUCAUAAUGGCAAAAUAUUUGAGCAGCCCUAAAUUUUCAACCCGAUGAAUUUUUUUUAGUUCUCUUUGCGCCAUUGUUCUGUUAACUCCUUCUCUACUGCAAUAAAAAUUUUCAAUCCGAUCGAAUUUUUGAAUUUCUCCUUGCGUCCAGUUGAUCUGUUAACUCAAUCUCGCCUGCGUUUUUCUUUGAAUCUAUCUGGACCCAGCUCCACAAGUUUCCUUUGAAUUAAGGAGUUACACGGUAUUGGGAAGCUCUCUAAGUGGCCUAUGAUUUCUAUAUUGGUAUAUUUGCGAAACUCCCCUUCCUCCCCCAAAGAAUAAUAAUCUAUUGUCAUUGAUGCGAUGUUAAUAGCAAUAGUAGUAAUACACUCUAUGUUCCACUUUACUUGUCUUGAAACUGUCCAGUAAAUUCUAUAAAAAGUAAAGGACCCAGAUUCCGGAGUUCUCAAUACAAUCGUGUUACAUUCCAGUGUUGCACUGGAUGAUGGGAAUUCACCUCUGGUCAGUGCUUCUUGAAAGAAUUGUAUGAAUUUUUAUGUUUAUGCAAAUAGGUUAACGUCACCUCCUCAUCCUAUUUUCAACUAUCACAACUUCAUAUGAGCAUCUAGCAUUGUUUUAAAGCCGCUCGAUAACAUCUCGACACUUUUAUGAUUUCAUUUAGUACUUGUGCUGGUAUUAUUGAGAAAAUAGGAAAUAAAAUGAUCUUCUACCGGUAGCUUGUAGCACCUUAGAUGUCCCAUUCUCUCAAAUAGGCAUGACAAAAGCUUAUUGCAGCAUAUUUCACUCACUACCACAAACGAGUUAUCCAGUAGUAACACUAACUUUUUUUAGAUUGUGUUUGCAAGAAAUGGAGAAGGUUUGAUUUAAGCAAAGUUGGGAUCUUCGUCUUUAUUUCCGCUUUCAAAGGUGUAUAUAUGCUGUGCAAAUGUUUGUACACAAAAAGAUCACAAAAACAAUGUCAAGAAGGCAAAAAUGUGUGGAUAAUAUGUUAUUUGUAUAGAGAAAGCAAUGAAUUCAGUUUAAAAAAAUUCAAGGAGGCCUCAAAGUUCUUCAAUGUCAUGAAGGGAAUCAUGGAGUGGUAAGGAAGUAAAAGCAGAAUAGUUCACUGAGAGGAAAGCAGCAAAAGAAGCUACAGCUGCAGCUGCGGCGGAGAAGAAGUCACCUAGGUCAUUGACAACUAUUCCUUCGGAGGCUAGCAAUGUUUCAAGGGAUGUCACUAGUCACCCUGCGAGACCCAUGUCUGACGGGCAGAAAUGUUCCGCAGGAUUGUUUCAAGGCAUCUUGAAGUUCUCACAAGUCUGUCCACUUGAAGGCAAAAUUAUCUUCUCUGGCUACUGAAACUCCAGCAGAACAAAAUGCAUCCUCACCUAGCAAUGGUUGGCUAUAUUACUUGAGGAAAGGAAUAUUUAUCCUUUGUUGAUGUAAUAUGUACAUACCUUGCAACCUUGUUUUGGAUUUCCAUGUGUCGGCUCCAUUUAGAAAUUCAGAUCUAUGCAUUUUUAUAUAAUUGCUUUAUUUUAAUCAAAUCAUAUCGUAUUGUACUUAAACAUAAAAAUCUCCCGGUCAUAUUUUAGUUGGUCUCGUGAAAUCAGUCGGGGAGUUCGCAAAUUGGCCCGGACACUACGGUUAUUAGGAAAAAAAAUAAGAAGUUUUGUAGGUUGCUGUAUGUCUUUUUUUUGUGCGUGUCUAAUAGCUGAAGUAAAAUAAGUUACCGGGCGCUUUAAGUUACCUCUCGUCUUUUGCUCCUUUUGAAUAUAACUUUUUGCUAGGUGCUUGCUGUAAGGAUGCAAAAAUCACUCUCUCUAUAUUUUCUUUUGUCUUUCCUCUCUUAUUUUCUAGAAGUUGCUGUUGGCAUUCAUUUAUUGUCCAAAACUCAAGGUGCUUACUUUUUUCAGGAUGCCAAGGCCCCAUCCAAUAUCAAAAAAUCGUGUUGUACCUGCUCACAUUGAUCCAACCUGAGUGGGCAAAUGAUGGUAUUCCAAAAAUUGAACCCAAUAGUGAUUUGCAGCAUGUUGUUGUGGUACUACUUAUGUUGAGUUAGUAAUGGUUUGUAGUUAUAUCCUUCCCCUUCUUUUAAGAUCUUUUUCACUACUUUCUUGUCAUCAGUAACAUUUGAAACAAUCUUCCACGAGACCAACUCCAAGUUAAUUUGUAUGGUGGCAUUAGGUGGAAUCCUAUUUCAAUUGGCAACGACGCAUACAUCUUGGUAAACAAUGCGGUGGAUCAAAUUUGAAUGGUGGGCGCCACAACUCAACUUGAUCUAAGAUUAAAGCGAAUGAUGAAGAAUUUUUGAAAUAUUUUGAUAUGCAUUUAUAUAUAUUUGGUUUUUUGUGGAACUUGGAACAAAUUUUUAUUAUGUUGUUUUCUAAUUAGUGUGUAAAAGACAAAUUUUUUUG